rnacentral:rRNA from 1 species
AGACAAAGUUUAACGGCCGCGGUACCCUAACCGUGCGAAGGUAGCAUAAUCACUUGUUCUUUAAAUAGGGACUCGUAUCAACGGCAUCACGAGGGCUAUACUGUCUCCUUUCUCCAAUCAGUGAAACUGAUCUUCCCGUGAAGAAGCGGGAAUUAUUGUAUAAGACGAGAAGACCCCAUGGAGCUUUAAACUCAAUAUAUACCUCUACGCAUUUAUAUCACUAUAGCCUAAGAAAAUUAUAUAUUAGUUUUGGGUUGGGGGGACCGCGGAGAAAAAAUUAACCUCCACGACAAAUAGGCCAACGCCUUUAUCUAUGAACCACAAUUCUAAGAAUCAAUAAACUGAUGUUUAAUGAUCCAAUUUUUUGAUCAACGAACCAAGUUACCCUGGGGAUAACAGCGCAAUCUACUUCAAGAGCUCCUAUCGACAAGUGGGUUUACGACCUCGAUGUUGGAUCAGGGUAUCCUAGUGGUGCAGCCGCUACUAAAGGUUCGUUUGUUCAACGAUUAAAACCCUACGUGAUCU